UACGUAGGGGGCAAGCGUUGUCCGGAUUUAUUGGGCGUAAAGAGCGUGUAGGCGGCUAGACAGGUCCGUUGUGAAAACUCGAGGCUCAACCUCGAGACGUCGACGGAAACCGUCUGGCUAGAGUCCGGAAGAGGAGUGUGGAAUUCCUGGUGUAGCGGUGAAAUGCGCAGAUAUCGGGAGGAACACCAGCGGCGAAAGCGGCUUCCUGGUCCAGCACCGACGUUCAGGCACGAAAGCGUGGGGAGCAAACAGG
rnacentral:rRNA from 1 species